GGGAUUUCCCCUGUAGGUGUCGCACCAUGAUUACUUGUGACGUAAUUUAUUCAAGAGAGGGACCUUAAACAAAGAACAACAAACUAUGGCAUCGCAGCCUCAUAGCAAAAAAAGAAUCUGCUACUACUACGAUGGUGACAUAGGCAACUACUACUAUGGCCAGGGUCACCCGAUGAAGCCUCACCGUAUCAGGAUGACUCACAACCUCAUCCUCAACUAUGGGCUCUACAGGAAAAUGGAGAUAUAUCGUCCCCACAAGGCCACUCAGGAUGAGAUGACCAAGUUCCACAGUGAUGACUACAUCAAGUUCCUUCGCAGCAUCCGGCCUGACAACAUGUCUGACUACAACAAACAGAUGCAGAGAUUCAAUGUGGGUGAGGACUGUCCAGUGUUUGAUGGCAUGUAUGAGUUCUGUCAGCUGUCCACUGGGGGAUCUGUAGCUGGAGCAGUGAAGUUGAACAAGCAGGCUGCAGACAUUGCUGUGAACUGGGCGGGCGGUCUUCAUCAUGCCAAGAAGUCAGAGGCCUCGGGGUUCUGCUACGUCAACGACAUCGUCCUCGCCAUCCUAGAACUGCUCAAAUACCACCAGCGUGUGUUGUACAUUGAUAUCGACAUUCACCAUGGCGACGGUGUUGAGGAGGCGUUCUACACGACUGACCGAGUGAUGACCGUGUCAUUCCAUAAGUAUGGAGAGUACUUCCCAGGAACUGGCGAUCUCAGAGACAUUGGAGCUGGCAAGGGAAAGUACUAUGCAGUUAACUUCCCCCUGCGAGAUGGCAUUGAUGACGACGCUUAUGAGACUAUCUUCAAACCGGUGAUCAACAAGGUGAUGGAGAUGUACCAGCCCAGUGUGAUAGUGCUACAGUGUGGGGCGGACUCUCUGUCUGGGGACAGGCUUGGCUGCUUCAACCUCACACUCAAAGGUCACGGGAAGGCUGUUGAGUUCAUGAAGAAGUGGAAUCUGCCUCUGAUGAUCCUAGGGGGUGGCGGCUACACCAUCAGGAACGUGGCGCGUUGCUGGACCAAUGAGACCUCCAUAGCUCUUGGUGUAGAGGUGGCCAAUGAGUUGCCAUACAACGACUACUUUGAGUACUAUGGACCCGACUUCAAACUGAAUAUCAGCCCCUCCAACAUGGCCAACCAGAACACCACAGAGUACCUGGAGAAAAUCAAGACCCGUCUAUUUGAGAAUCUCCGUAUGCUUCCCCACGCCCCUGGAGUACAGAUGCAAGCCAUCCCAGAGGAUGCCCUGAAUGAUGAGAGUGAUAACGAGGACAAGGAUAAUCCAGACAGUAGAGUCUCCAUCCGCGCCAGUGACAAGAGGAUACACUGUGAUGAAGAGUUCUCGGACUCUGAGGAUGAAAUGUCAGGACCAAACGAGUCGGGCGGUAGACGGGACCGGAUGUCACACAAACCGAAACCCAAACGACCCAAAACUGAUGAGGAGCGAAAAGCAGAGCAGGCAAAAGGGGAAGGGAAAGAAGGAGAGAAGAAGGAAGGUAAAGAAGGAGGGAGACAGUAAUGACAAUGCUAAGGAGUCAAAGGAAUCAGGAGAGGACAAAGACAAGUCUGGCAACUCUGAAGAUGAGAAGAAAGGAUCUGAAUCUGCAAAGACUGAAAGUUCUUUUGAGGAAAGUAAGGAUGCUCCAAAAACUGAUGAGAAAACUUCGUAACAGCCUGUCUCACGUAUACACAUGUACAGAACAUUGCAACAGAAUGUAAUACAUUGUCCAGUGCUGGUGAUUAUAUAACUGGAAUAGAAACAUGUGAGUUAGAUCACCAGGUUCUUAACACAAGCUCACACCAGCUUGGCGGUUUUGGCACAAAAAUAUGUAUUCCAAAGUAGGAAGCAGCUUUGUUUUAUUCAAUAGUAGUAUUUGAAUAAAUAAAAAUACAUUACAUAUUUAAUUUGUUACUAAGUUUUCAUGAUAUUUUUUUUGUUACAAAAUGUGACGUUUUGUGAUUAGGAAAAGAAAAAUGUUCAUUUUCAAUGCGGUAUCAUGUGAAACAAUCUGAAAAUACUGAAAUGCUGAUAAGCACAUUGGCCUGAUAUUGCUUUUAAAUAAUGAAUUUUAUUAUGACAGCACCGCAAAUGUGAAAAUUGCAGAUGUAUUUUAGCAAUACCGGAAGUUAUUUUUCUGGCUUUGCUGAUUCAUUGACCAGGCCUAUGUUAAAUGAGUGGUGCUUUGUGCUGUAAGAACGGUCCAAAGAUUAUAUCAGUAUCAGUGGUUGCUGUGUGUUUAACCCAUUUAUGCCUAGCGCCUAGAAAAAAGGCCAUGGCAAACAGCGUAGACCCAGAUGAGACGCCACAUGAUGUGGCGUCUCAUCUGGGUCUGCGCUGUUUGCUUAAAGGAAUUUCUGUAAGAAAUAUUCUUAAUUUAGAAAUAAAUAUACUAGACAUCCCUAAUUUUGUAAAUAAAUUAAUCCAAUUUAGAAGGAUGGGUGAGUCCACCAGGCAUAAAUGGAUUAAUGCUAGUUUAGAACAUUGAUGUUUUUGUGUAAAAGAUAACUUUAGAUUAUGAAAUUGACAUCAUAUUGCUUUUGUCUUGUGGUCCAUUAAAAUCAAACUUUUAUUCUUCAUACACAACAAAUAAAUGUAAAAAGAA